rnacentral:rRNA from 1 species
UACGGGGGGAGCAAGCGUUGUUCGGACUUACUGGGCGUAAAGGGCGCGUAGGCGGUCAGCACAAGUCAGUUGUGAAAUCUCCGGGCUUAACCCGGAAAGGUCAACUGAUACUGUGCGACUAGAGUGCGGAAGGGGCAACUGGAAUUCUCGGUGUAGCGGUGAAAUUCGUAGAUAUUGGGAAGAACACCGGUGGCGAAGGCGGCUAUCUGGCCCGUAAUUGACGCUGAGGCGCGAAAGCGUGGGGAGCAAACAGG